CCUACGGGGGGCAGCAGUGAGGAAUAUUGGUCAAUGGUCGCAAGACUGAACCAGCCAAGCCGCGUGAGGGAUGAAGGUACAGAGUAUCGUAAACUGCUUUUGUCAGGGAACAAACGCGGAUACGCGUCCCCGGCUGAGUGUACCUGAAGAAUAAGCAUCGGCUAACUCCGUGCCAGCAGCCGCGGUAAUACGGAGGAUUCGAGCGUUAUCCGGAUUUAUUGGGUUUAAAGGGGGCGGAGGCGGUCGGAUAAGUUAGAGGUGAAAGCCCGGGGCGUAACUUCGGACUUGCCUUUGAUACUGGUCGGCUAGAGUGGGGGAGCGGUAUGCGGAAUGUGCGGUGUAGCGGUGAAAUGCUUAGAUAUCACGCAGAACACCGAUUGCGAAGGCAGCAUGCCGGGUUCCUACUGACGCUGAGGCACGAAAGCGUGGGGAUCAAACAGGAUUAGAUACCCCAGUAGUC
rnacentral:rRNA from 1 species